UACAGAGGUCUCAAGCGUUGUUCGGAUUCAUUGGGCGUAAAGGGUGCGUAGGCGGCGCGGUAAGUCGGGUGUGAAAUACUUGGAGCUUAACUCCGAAACUGCAUUCGAUACUGCCGUGCUUGAGGACUGGAGAGGAGACUGGAAUUUACGGUGUAGCGGUGAAAUGCGUAGAUAUCGUAAGGAAGACCAGUGGCGAAGGCGGGUCUCUGGACAGUUCCUGACGCUGAGGCACGAAGGCCAGGGGAGCAAACGGG
rnacentral:rRNA from 1 species